rnacentral:lncRNA from 1 species
UAAAAAAAGUCUGAUCUGAGUCGAAUAAGUCAGAACCAGGCUCGAUAUGCUUGGACACGCCGGAGCAAGGCUGGAGAGGCCAUAGAACCUUAAAUCAGUGAAGAUAUGAACGGACACCAUCGAGUUCAGACCUUGAGACUUCGAACACCAAGUGUUUAAGAGCAGAGGGAGAUGGGUUUAAACCAUCCAUGGUGGGAGAGUCCAUGGAUUCCAGUGAGGUUGUGGUUGAAAUGGUGAGAGGAUGAUUAGGGUUUCAAGAACUUUCGAAAGAGUUUGAGAGAGGGGGUUUUCAG